UACGUAGGGUGCAAGCGUUGUCCGGAAUUAUUGGGCGUAAAGAGCUCGUAGGCGGUUUGUCGCGUCUGCUGUGAAAACCCGAGGCUCAACCUCGGGCCUGCAGUGGGUACGGGCAGACUAGAGUGCGGUAGGGGAGAUUGGAAUUCCUGGUGUAGCGGUGGAAUGCGCAGAUAUCAGGAGGAACACCAAUGGCGAGGGCAGCUCGCUGGGACGGUAUUGACGCUGAGACGCGAAAGCGUGGGGAGCAAACAGG
rnacentral:rRNA from 1 species